UCCCGAUAAGCCCAGCGAUUGGGAACUCAGCUCCGUGUCCGUGCGGUCGGAGCAGAUGGAGUUUACUCCUGUGACCUUCCAUGGACUUCCUGCUGCUCAGUUUGAGCUAAUUGUGGUUGCUGAGGUUAUUAAUUUUUUCAUAUGCUCCAGCAGGAGAGACCACAAAACACGAGCGACAAUAACAAGACUGGAGGCUGUUCACACACACUAAUGUAGGAGGAUCACCAUGUUAAUGAUUGUUCGGAGAAUUGAUUCCUUCUGAGAGUUGAUAUGUCCAGAUGAUGAAAGAUGGAAUGGCUUAUCACUUUCCUCACUCCUCAUUUGGUUCUCAUGGGUUCUUUUGAAUUCAGGAAGAAUACAUUUGCCAAUUGAGAGUGUAACUUCCAAGAAACUGGUCUUUGGCCUUCAUUUCCUGACUUCGAUACAACAGUUUCUUGCAGAGUGACCCUAUCUGUUAAAUGACAAAUGGAACUGAAAAGGAAAAAGAAGGAAGACUUACCAGUCAUUUAUUGGAGUCAGAUUGUACUGCAGUGACAAAAGUGAUAAUUACAUGGGCAAAAGUAAGGUUGACAUAUGUCCGUCUUUCAGCUGUUGUGGCAGAUGGUAAUUUAAGUAGAAUUGAAGAGAUCUGCGCAUCUGUUGGCUGACUUACAGCUCAAUGCUGAGGUGUGUGGUAUUGAUCUGAGUAAAACGUGAUGUACACUAAAAUGAAAUUCUUUUUGAC